rfam:Coprinopsis cinerea okayama7#130 chromosome 3 cont3.3, whole genome shotgun sequence.
GGCAACAUGGCCGAGUGGUCUAAGGCGCUGGAAUUAGGUCAUGCGAUCGAAAAUCCAGUCUUCACGGGCGAGGGUUCGAAUCCCUCUGUUGUCA